rnacentral:rRNA from 1 species
AACGUAGGUGGCGAACGUUAUCCGGAUUCACUGGGCGUAAAGAGUGCGUAGGCGGUUUGUUAAGUCGGAUGUAAAAUCUCCUGGCUCAACUGGGAGGCACCAUCCGAUACUGGCGAGCUGGAGUGCAUCAGAGGAGAGUGGAAUUCCCGGUGUAGUGGUGGAAUGCGUAGAUAUCGGGAGGAACACCAGUGGCGAAAGCGGCUCUCUGGGAUGUUACUGACGCUGUUGCACGAAAGCGUGGGGAGCAAACAGGAUUAGAUACCCUGGUAGUCCACGCUGUAAACUAUGGACACUGGGUACAGGGAGUAUCGACCCUCUCUGUGCCGAAGCUAACGCGUUAAGUGUCCCGUCUGGGGACUACGGCCGCAAGGUUA